UUCCUCUUUCUCUCUUUUUCUUUCUUUUCUUUUCUUCUCCUUUUCCUGAUAACUCUCCUUCUCUCUUCUUCUAUUCUUAUCCUCUUUUAUUACCAACCUUCCCUCUUCUUAUCCACCACACACAUACAUAUACUAUAUAAUAUAUAUAAUAUAAAACAUUAAGUAGUGACAUAAAAUAUCCCAAGUGAUAUUUUGUCUUCUAGUACCAAUU
rnacentral:lncRNA from 1 species